GACCCCGCCCAUCGCCGGGUAAUCAACGGUCCGUCUGAACCGAACUGCAGUGCAGAGCCGGAAUGGGGGGGCUUGGCCCCUGUCCAACACGGUCAAAAUUAGCUCUCUGUUGAAAUACAUGCAGUCAGCCAUUGGAAGCGACUGAGUUCCAGUCCUGCAGCCUUGUAUGGGGUGUCAGAUCCCCGCAAGGCUGCUGCUCGGGUCUGCCUUCAUCCACUGACGUCUUUUCCAGCAGCAACUUACAGUGAAAGGACAAGAACAAAGGCUUUAUCUGUUCCUUCUUUAAAAUGACACCAACAGAAGCAAUGGCGAAUCCCAUCAGAGCGAACAGCCCUGUUCCCGAGCCUGGCGGUGUGGAGAGGAACCGGCACGAAAGAUCGACAUUCCUGUCUGAUGUAGGAUAGACAGCAGGGCCCUCCGGGGGAGAGAUUGUAUCCUCAUGUAUAUUAUUUUUUAUUUCCUAAAUCAUAUAUAUCCUUAUUUUCUAUGGUUAUGGCGUGCGAUACAGAUGAAUAAUGACGCUGGGGCUUUCCCCCCAUCUAUGUGAUCAAUAAAAUUGUAGAAAAACCUGGGACUCUAAGCCUUGAUGAUAUGCUCUUCGGAAGGGGGCGGCAGUAAAGACACACAGCACCUCAAGACAGACUGGAGCUUCACUGAACACCCACAUGUGUGUGUUUGUUCCCGGGGGUCCGGGACCCUGGCGGCAGCAGCAUGUCUUCCACUUGUCCACUUCUACUUUGCACGGCUGGAGUCUUUCAUAUCUCUGUGAAUCCCCUGUGAACAAAACCCCCCCCAAGACAUGUUAACCGUGUUCUGUGACGACAUGCGACAAUACCGAACACUAGCGCUCGACCAAUAGGCCGAUACCAAUGUUCCCAGUGAAUUCGAAUCAUGGUGAAAAAGUUAUUUAACUUAAUUCAAUGGGAACCCUGCAGUAUCUAUAAUAAAAUGGAAUAAUAGCAAAUGAGACAAUUGCCAAAUGUACAUUUUUUUGUAGCAUUUUUACUGAUUUAUAAUAUUAAAAAUAAUCACAGCACUUCUGUGAACCGGUUGAUGGCCAUUUUGACAUUAUCAUUAUCAAAAUAAAAGUCCCUCCUCACAUCCAUCCCUACGUCUUGAUUACUAAAACACGUAAACGUCGGUCAAUACUCACACCUUACAGUAUUUACUAAGGCUAAGAGUCCCCACUUCUCAUGCAGAGUUCACAUUUUUGUAGUAUUUUGCUUGUUAAUUUUUUGCCUUUUAACUUUUUUUUGUUGCUUUGCCAGUAUAUUAAAGUGUAAUCAUGUACGUUGUGAUAUAGAAGUAGCUGUAGAGAUGCAUUGUUUCCUUGUGGUAAGUGACUGAGAUGCUGCCACGGAUUUGAGACACUGAUGAAUGGUGCUAUUUUGGACUUUAAUCUGCUCCUUGUGAAGGAAGCUCAGAUGGGUUUUAUUUUAUAUGUUCAUGUUCAGAAGAGGUGUUGGUUCUUUGUUGUCUGGUUGUCGUAACUCGGAUCGGAUCGACUUUAUUCCCCCCUUGUUGUUUCCGUGUGGCUUUCUCAUUGGACAGAAAAACAGAUUUGUUAAAGGGUUGGUGUUUUGUUACCUUUCUUUUUUUUGUUAUUUGAAAAACUCUAAAACUUCAGACAAUCGGAGCAAUCACAAAACUGCAAUUAUUAACACUAUCUACCCUUUAUUGUAAAGGUUUAAAUCAAGGAGUAGUUACAGUUCCUGGCACUAGUCACUUCUGGCAAUAGCAAACUCAGUCUAGACCUCAUACUUAAAGCACAGGGUAUCUUACGGAGCGAAUCUCAUGUUUUUGUUAAACAGUCAAUUCCUUAAACGCAUCAAGGACGCAUUCACAUAGACAGAGAGGAUGAUGUUGCUGUUGUAGUUUUCUGUGCUCAGUCCCAGGGAUGCGCCGAUACGAACAUUUUGGCCGAUUAUAUUUGAAAGCCGAUAACCGAUAUAUCGGCCGAUAAAUCGAAAUCCAAAUUUUUAUGUAAUUAAACACACAAUUAUGACGUAUGUAGCCGAUAUGACAUGUUGUAAUUUCCUUUUUGAAGUGAUCAUGUUGAACAGUGCGCAUCUGAAGGAAAUUAUACAUUAUUUAUCGGCUUUAAUAUAUCGGACAAAUUUUCUUAUCGGGCCGAUAAUGAUGACAUUAAAAAUGAACAUAUAUCGGCUGAUACAGAUAUGCAUCCCUAUAUACACACACACACACACACACCAGGGCAGCUGAGGUCAGAUUUAUCCUACACCAGCUGGAAAUGUCUAAUAAGUACUAACACACACAUUCGUUUAGCGCACAGGCUCCUUCGAUGUAUUUUCUAAAGGCAAAAAAUGUAGCAUCAAAACCAACUUUCUCAUUGACAUUUUUAUCAACCGCUCUUGGAAAUGAGUUUUAUGGGUUAAAGAAACAAAAGCUUUAUAUUUAUUCGUUUAAGUAGCACUCGGUGUUUGCAGUUUUGUCUUUGCUUCCAGUUCACAUACUUCUAACAAUCCUAAUUCAAAGACCAACUGGAAAGCCCACCUUAGUUUCUUAGUCUUCCACAUAUUUUUCCACUAAACUGGGGACCUUCCCAGCGUGCUCUAGUCUUUCCUUAGUGCUUACGGCGUAUCGACCGCAUGCUCUUCCUUUUGUUUCUGAUCUGAAUAACUCUCCUCACAGUUUCUUCUCAUAGAUUAGGUAUGCUAACUGUGUUGUAAAUAGCCAGUGAAUAGCGUUGAAUUAUUCUGUAAUAAUUGUGUAUGAUUGGUGUACAAAACAUCAAGUCUAGCCUCAUCAUCUUUUUAAAGAUGAACUGGUGUUUCAUGUAAUUUUGCAACUUAAGCUGUAGUUGAAUAAAUAUGCAAGCUCUCUC